UCCCUGGUGGUCCAGUGGUUAGGACUCAGAGCUUUCACUCCCAGGCCCAGGUUUAAUCCCUGGUCAGGGAA
rnacentral:tRNA from 1 species